rnacentral:rRNA from 1 species
ACUCCUACGGGAGGCAGCAGUGGGGAAUUUUGGACAAUGGGCGAAAGCCUGAUCCAGCAAUGCCGCGUGAGUGAAGAAGGCCUUCGGGUUGUAAAGCUCUUUUGUCAGGGAAGAAACGGUGAGAGCUAAUAUCUUUUGCUAAUGACGGUACCUGAAGAAUAAGCACCGGCUAACUACGUGCCAGCAGCCGCGGUAAUACGUAGGGUGCAAGCGUUAAUCGGAAUUACUGGGCGUAAAGCGUGCGCAGGCGGUUUUGUAAGUCUGAUGUGAAAUCCCCGGGCUCAACCUGGGAAUUGCAUUGGAGACUGCAAGGCUAGAAUCUGGCAGAGGGGGGUAGAAUUCCACGUGUAGCAGUGAAAUGCGUAGAUAUGUGGAGGAACACCGAUGGCGAAGGCAGCCCCCUGGGUCAAGAUUGACGCUCAUGCACGAAAGCGUGGGGAGCAAACAGGAUUAGAUACCCCGGUAGUCCCA